UAAGUAUCAAAAUUGCCUUAUAAGAUUUCUUACGAAAAAAUCACAUACUUGAAUUCUAAACACAAAGUGCAAUUGAUUAACAAUGCUUCCCACCCAUUGUUUCUUCUUCUAUUAACAUAUCCAAAUUCCACGCCCUUAAUAACUAAAACACUUUUUCUGCCCAUCCUAAAAAUUAUACUUAUCAAUAGUCUACCAGACUUCUUCAUAUCUAGAAUGAAAAUUUACAGAAACUCCAAUCUAGUAAACAUGAACUUUGUGUAAAUAUAUUACUAUAAUAACGUAUCAUAAUUUGGCAAGAAUUAAGAAACACAAUUUUGAGUGGCAUUUAUUAAUCUAUCUGGUACUGCACUUAUAUUCUAUCAUAGUAACCAGAAAGAACAUGAUAAACUGAUAAUCAUUUGUCGGCCAGGAAUUUGGGAAUCGAAAGAUGCUUUGAGUUCUUGAUUUAUUAGCUGGAAUUGGUUUGAACAAAAAGGAUUUGUUUCUGGAAAUUCUAUAACAGAUAAUUUUGGAGUAAUGAAGAUCAUUAAGUAAUGCAAAAAAUAAUUCUGUAAGAGAAUUUUUUGCUGAAAUGUGAACAUGAGUUGUGGUGUUGUGCAUGUCUUUGGUUCAAGGGAGGCUUCAAAAGCAGUGCGAGCUUAGUUACUUUGAGCAUAUUUUUGAGUACUGCAAGCCCAGUUGUGAGAAUGUUUCCAAAAAGGUUCUCUCAUCAGUAGGGGUGUGGUCAUUAACAAAGGAUUAUUUAUGGGAAACUAUAUGCAUCUGUUACUAAUCGGAGAAUAACAGGUUGGUUUGGCAAGGCCUUCUUUUUUUACUUCUCUUUUUAAAGAAUAUAAUCUUUUGUCAUGUUUUAUGCUUGAUUAUAUUUCUUGCAUUCUGUUGUUUUAUUAUAUUUAAUAGAUUAGUAAUUACAAUUAGUUUCUAGGUGUUUAGUUUUAAUUAGUUGUUGGGCCUUAGGCUGUUUAAUUUGAUGUGUGAGUUGUCUUAAUUUCUGUUAAAAAUUGCCGUUCAUGAUAUUCACGUCUAUCUUUGUUAUCUUUCUGAUUUUUGUUUGAUAGCAAAUCGCAACUUUGUUAUUAUAAACAGAAUUGUUUAAAGAUCAAGCAAAAGACAUUGGUUAAUAUGGCUGUUGAUAGUGGAUGUUACAUAUAUCAAAGUCCAAGCUUAAAUAUUCUCAUUGAUUAUCCCAACUUUAAAAAGAUGACUUCAUUGCAAUUUCAUGAUUUGCCUAAGGUACCUUCUUUUAGGGAAAAAAAUAUCUUACAGGAAUUUAGAUAC